AAGGCCACAAACCGACCACCAUUUUCAAAACUGACCAAUUUUUCUUUGUGUGAAACAGGAACAAAGAAGUGCAAGGAAAGUGGUUCAAAAAAAAGAAAAAAAGAAAAGAAAAAAAAGAGAAGGAAAAGAAAAGAAGAGAAGAGCCGACAAAGGGAAGUUUCUCAACUCUUUGUCUUUAUUUGUCUUGCUAAUUAUGCAUAAAAUCUUGCCAUUGAUCUUCACAUUUUUCCUCCUAGGAUAAAAGUCCUAGUCUGAUGGAUUUUCCUCUCAAUAUCUUAGUUUGAUGAAUCUUUCUCCUAAGAUAGAAAACCUAGUCUGAUGAAUUUUCUCCUAGGAUAGAAAUCUUAGUCUGAUGAAUCUUUCUCCUAAGAUAACAAAAAUAGACCUAGUCUGAUGAAUCUUCUCCUAGGAUCAAAAUCUUAGUCUGAUGAAUUUUUCUCCUAAGAUAGAAGACCUAGUCUAAUGAACUUUCUCCUAGGGUAGAAAUCUUAGUCUGAUGAAUUUCCUCCUAAGGUAAAACCUAGUCUGAUGAACUUUCUCUUAGGAUAGAUGUCUUAGUCUGAUAAAUUUUUCUCCUAAGAUAGAAAACCUAGUCUGAUGAAUUUUCUCCUAGGAUCAAAAUCUUAAUCUGAUGAAUUUUUCUCCUAAGAUAGAAAACCUAGUUUGAUGAAUUUUCUCCUAGGUUAAACGUCUUAGUUUGAUGAAUCUUUCUACUAAGAUAGAAAACCUAGUCUGACGAAUUUUCUCCUAGGAUAAUUUGAAAAAAGGGAAAUCUGGAUUUGUAAAAAAACGGGUCAAUUUUUAGUUUUCUUAAGUAAUCAAUGUUUAGUUUUCUUGAAAUCAGGGGUCUUUCCUGGAGAAUAGGGUCAGUCUUUACUUUAGUCAAGCUUAGUUUAUAGUUUCCUAGUCUAUUCUUUAGUUUACUCUCAUUAUUGUAUCAAUAGUACAAGUGGUUUACAAUUUUGCUACGACUCACAAAUCUUCCUAGUGCAAACUGGGGCAGAAAAAAUUUCUUUUGUUUUGUCUGUUUUGUUGUAAUCAGGCGCCCACCUAGAAAACAAGGGAAGACAACUCAAGUUUCAAGGGAAAGCAUUUUAGAAGGAAGACAACUCAAGUUUCAAGGGAAAGCAGUUUCGAAGGAAGACAACUCAAGUUUCAAGAGAAAGUAGUUUCGGAGGAAGAGUGUUCAAGUUUUAAGGGAAAAUGGUUCAAGGUGCAAGGGAAAAUAGUGUCAAGUAACAAGAGAAGACGGUUCAAGUUCAGCAAUCAGGCGCCCACCUGGAAAAAAAAGGGAAUUCAAUGCAGAAUGCAAUUCAGGUCAACAACAAAAGAAGCUCGCAUCAAGAAUGUGAGUCAGCAGUCCAAGAUGAUCAACAAAAGUUAUUCAAAAUCCAGAAAAAAAAAGAAAAAAACAAAAAGAAAGACAAAAAGUGAGUCCAAAUACAGAAGUUAAUGAAAUAUGUGAGCUGCUCAAGACAGGGCUGAGGUCACAAGCUCUGCAUGUCCCGUCUUGGUUUGAAAAGUUGAAGAAGAUUCAACCAACACCUGCGGCUAACAAGCAUCAAGAUUCAGAUUAGAGUCUGCAUGAAGAACCAACCAAGACUCAAGAUCAAGCUUCAGAAAACUCAAAGAUAGGAAUCUUGUAACUCGUAACUGAUAGGCUUAGUUAGUUUUUUCAAUUUUUAUUUUUGAUGUAAUAACAGGACCGCGGACCGGAACCUCGACGGCACCUCGCUCGUCUCUCAACCUCGGUACUCCAUCACCUCAUUCACCUCUGAACUACACGAGACCUGAUUCCUUUGUAGCCAAGGAUAUAUAGGCAUCUCAGAUACCAGGGCUCGAUCACAUUCUCCUUUAUUUUGGUCUCCUUAAAUAAGGGUCGGGUCAAAAAACCUAUCUAGUCGUUCUUUGUCCGAAAACUCUUCACGUUUCAAGUCAAAGAGGAGCAGCUGUAGACAUGUGAUUUUUGACCCUCCCCAAGAUUUUUCAUAUUUUAGCACAUAAAUAUUUAAUUUGGG
rnacentral:lncRNA from 1 species